rnacentral:rRNA from 1 species
UACGUAGGGGGCAAGCGUUGUCCGGAAUCAUUGGGCGUAAAGAGCGUGUAGGCGGCCCGGUAAGUCCGCUGUGAAAGUCAGGGGCUCAACCCUUGAAUGCCGGUGGAUACUGUCGGGCUAGAGUGCGGAAGAGGCGAGUGGAAUUCCUGGUGUAGCGGUGAAAUGCGCAGAUAUCAGGAGGAACACCGAUUGCGAAGGCAGCUCGCUGGGACGUAACUGACGCUGAGACGCGAAAGCGUGGGGAGCAAACAGG